rnacentral:rRNA from 1 species
CACGAAGUUAGCCGGGGCUUCUUCUCCGGGUACCGUCAUUAUCGUCCCCGGUGAAAGAGCUUUACAACCCUAGGGCCUUCAUCACUCACGCGGCAUGGCUGGAUCAGGCUUGCGCCCAUUGUCCAAUAUUCCCCACUGCUGCCUCCCGUAGGAGUUUGGGCCGUGUCUCAGUCCCAAUGUGGCUGAUCAUCCUCUUAGACCAGCUACCGAUCGUCGCCUUGGUAGGCCUUUACCCACAACUAGCUAAUCGGACGCGGGCUCAUCCUGAACCGAUAAAUCUUUGCCCCUCAGGGCACAUGCGGUAUUAAUUCCAGUUUCCCGGAGCUAUCCCGCAGUUCAGGGUAGAUUCCCACGCGUUACUCACCCGUCUGCCACUCCCCUUGCGGGGCGUUCGACUUGCAUGUGUUAAGCCUGCCGCCAGCGUCGUUCUGAGCCAGGAUCAACUCU